CGACAUCAGUCUCCAGAGUGAAUCCAAGGAGUGGACCCAAGACAUUUGUGUUCUGUGAUGUGGUGGCAUGUUACCUGUCAUCUCUGAUGCAUAACUCCUAAAGUGUUUGCGUCUGGGGCAGUUGUACAGAUUGCAAAGGAUAAUACUCAAGAUGUCCUCCAAGGCCAACUACUCAUCAGUUUAUUCAUAACUCCCAAGAUGGUCGUGGGCCACUUCCAAGAUGGUGGCAAGAGUCGUAUUCUCUGACCUGGGGUUCUUGGUCUCAUGGAUUCCAAGGAAUGGAAUCUUGCGCCAUGUGGAGGAGCGUCAGAUAAUUAGGCAGCAGUCCAACAAUUAGGUUUUGUGGAACUUUUACUAUGUCAUCUAUUUAUUGGAAUUCCCUCUGGAUACCAGGACCCCCUCCAGCAGAGCUUAAAGUUAUAGUUACAGGAAGUACAAAUUCCGUAUGUGGAUCCCUGGAAGUGUGAUGAGAAGAACCACUGUUUCCAAGAUCUAUUUAUUCUAUUUAUCAGGCCUAUAAAAUCAUGUAAUGGCCAUGGCUUCAACUAGACUCCACAUCUUGAAUCACAGAACUCAACGAAUGGCAUCAACUACAAGCUGGUAUUCUGCUAUACAUUUAAGAGGCCAUUUUAAUAUUCUAUUAGUCUAGCAGCUUCUAAGUGAUGAGGGAUAUAGGGGGACUGGAGGAUCCCGUGCUCACUUCCUUUUCUGUAAAAGGAGCUCUUUGAUCCAAGGUGACAUGGUAUGGGAUCCAAUGACAAUAAAUCAGUUAUUCUGUGAACCCUGAUCAAAACUUGACUAAACUUUUGACAGUUAGGUUUUUUCCUGACCACAGACUCCUCCCCUUUCUUUUCUUAGAAAAUUUACAUUGGAAAACAGAUGUAAAUUUUCUCCAGCCUCUUGCAAGGUUUACAGUCCAGGACUUUGAGGUCCUGGGAGUCAUCCUUUUGAAAUACAAUCAUCAAAGAAGAUAGUGCUCCAAUCUCCUAGUCUCUGUGGGAGGGUGGGAACCUAACUUCAGUAAACUAAGCACCAAUUAGCAAACACAGAGGGGCUGAUCAUAUUGACCCACUUUCCCACUAAAAUGUCUAGUACUUUCCACCAGCUCACCACAGUGCUUAAAAACUCUCCUGUCUUUUGUUUUAGUAGAGUCCAAUCUCUUUCAUCUAUUGCAAUAGUGUUGAAUAAAGUCUUCCUUGCCUAA
rnacentral:lncRNA from 1 species